rnacentral:sRNA from 1 species
AUCUNUACACAUGCGAGUUAAACGGAGUUAUUGGUGUAGCAAUACAUUGAUAACUUUUUGCCGGACGGGUGAGUAACACGUAGGUAACCGACCCUAAAGCGGGGGACAACAUCGGGAAACCGGUGCUAAUACCGCAUAAGCUCACGGACUGGAAUGUUUGUGAGAAAAGCAGCAAUGCACUUUAGGACGGGCCUGCGGCCUAUCAGGUAGUUGGUGGGGUAACGGCCCACCAAGCCGACGACGGGUAGCCGGACUGAGAGGUUGAACGGCCACACUGGAACUGAGACACGGUCCAUACUCCUACGGGAGGCAGCAGUGGG